rnacentral:misc_RNA from 1 species
AUAAUACGGGCAUUAAUACCAACAAAUGUUCCUUUGCUUUCAUCCCAACCGCCUCAAUUACCUCAAUGAGGCCUUUGCGUAAGAGACUUUCAGGUGAAGACUGAAGGUCAAUUAAAUAAGAGAGAAGCUCAGCAACUUGAGAUGGCUCCGCCGAUAACAAUACAUCUUUCAAUUGCUUCAACGAAGAUAGUUUUACUGACAAAUCACCGUGGUUGUUAGCGGACGCGAGUAGCGGUAGAGCUUGCUCCCGAAUUGGUCCAGCCAUGUUAAGGUCUCUUCACAAAAACAAAUGUGUAGCUUAGGGUUUACUUAUACUUAGGGUUUUGAACAAACCGGAGUAAAAACCGAAACUUCACCGUCCUCCGCCGCCG